rnacentral:lncRNA from 1 species
UUGUUAUUGCUUUGAACUGCAUUUACAAAUAUCAUUCAGUAAAUAGUAGUAAAAUAGAGAGAAUAUGUGAAAGUCAAUUUAUGGAACGAAUCGUAUUUUCUGCACUACAUGAUGACGAAGACUGUAUAAUGACAGUAACUGUUGCUUUCCGUUAUAAAAAAGAUAGCUAAUGAGACAACUCUUCACAAGAGACCAAAUGACACAGAAAUUAACCACUAUAUGUCACCGUACGGCCUUCAACAAUGAUCAAAGCACAUACCACAUAGUCAGCUAUAAAAGACUCCGAAAUGACAAAUUUAACGUGAAAUGUAAAACAAUUCAAACGAGAAAACAAACGCCGUUCUAUAUUUAUUUACAAAAAAUAAACGAAAAACAAAUAUGUAACACAUCAAAAAACAACAACCACUGAAUUACAAGCUCUUGACUUGGGACAGACACAUACAUAAAAAAUGUGGCUGGGUUAAAUAUGUUAAUUAGCAGACCCCCCCCCCCUGUUUUCCCUAAACCUGAAACAGUGGUGUAAACGUACAACAUGAGAAAGAACUAUAAAAAUCAGCUGGAAAAAGCUUAACUCUUCAG